UGAGACCCAUCUUGAUAGAUAUAGGAUACAGUUACUUGAAAUUUGAGCAAAUUUGGACCCACUUGUUCUUCAGCAACCCUCUGAAGUGAAGAAGAGCCCUGAAAUCUACUUGUAAUUCAAUGCAAUUGAAUGGAAAUAACGUCAGGGGCCCCUGACGAAGGUGCAUCUCCUAAGGCACCGAAACGCGCGUCGGGCGUUUUUCUCAUAUCUUAUGAGCACUGGGCACUGGUGUCUAUAGCACCAUGUUUGGCACUAAUUCUAUGGGAUUUUUUUGAUUUUUAUGUUUACUAUACUUCUCACUUACCUUAUCUUUG